UGCUCGGUGGAAGCUGGGUUUAUACUAACUUUCCUUUGCAGAAUUUUUACUGAUUCAUAAAGCCAGUGGUUGCAUAUUACAAGCAGAUCGUUAGUUCACACAACACAAAUGUCAUUUGGUCACGGAUAUUUUUGUUGCUGUUCGAUCGUUUCUUUCCCUACUUAUCAACUGGUGUGGAUGGACCUAGAGAAGAUGUUCACCCUUUCCAGCAAGGAAUAUAGUUCCUUCAUCUGUUUGUCCUUUAUUAAAUUAAAGUCAUGCUGAGGACGACGCGUUAUUGCCCCUGGUUGUCCUGCUGCCCCUUCCUGUGAGCAGCCUGUAAGUUCCUGCCCGAUGCCGAGUGCCGGUCCGUGUCAUCUUGCCCACCGGAGGAACAGAGUCCAAGCCUCACGGGUGGUGCGCCGUGCCUGGGGGAAGGGGGCGUGAGUGUGUCAUGUUUGAGCAGGUGCUUUAGGAAACAGAGGGGGCUUCUGCAGUCUUCUCAUCCUUUUCCCCACUGCAGGAGCUGCUCCCUCCCCUGUGGUCCCAGAUAGGACUCAUGGGGCAGAGCCUUCACAGCUGCCCCUCAGGGGCUCCGUGUCACGGACGGCAGGGGGAGCAUUGUUUGCCGUACAGCAAAGCUGACCAGGAUGAGCUGCCACCGGGUGCUGUGCCAGGUGAGGGGGCACAGCAGUCAGCGAGACCAUACUUGGAGAGGGGGCAGUGGGAGCACUGCCCAGGCCUCACCAGAGUGACGGGUCCAGAUAACACCCCACUAUGUGGGGUCCAGAUUACACCACACCACGUGAGUGACGGGUCCGGAUUAUACCACACCACGUGGGGGUCCGGAUAACACCCCACUAUGUGGGGUCCAGAUUACACCACACCACAUGAGUGACGGGUCCGGAUUAUACCACACCACGUGGGGGUCUGGAUAACACCCCACUAUGUGGGGUCCAGAUUACACCACACCACGUGGGGGUCCAGAUAACACCCCACUAUGUGGGGGUCCGGAUAACACCCCACCACGUGGGGGUCCAGGGUCAGGGCUUGCCCUUCUGAGCCUUUUCAUCUCUGUGAAUGACGGGAGGGGAGGGAUGACGCCAAGCCCACAGGGCUGGUAGAGGACUAAGUGGCCUGAGUGUGUAGGAAGGCCGAGCACGGUGCUGGGCACGCUGAGUCUUCUGUAGGUUUGACCCUUCCUCUGUUCCUUUUUUCCUGAGCUUCACUUUUGUUAUUUGUAAAACUGGGUGACAGUUGGUAUCUCCAUAGCCCUCGAAGAUGAGACCACUCCCUUCUUGUUCUCAUGGCCAAGGAAGGCCCUGCCAUGCCUGAGCUUUGCAGGUGGGAAAGGCUUCCUCUGCCCCUCCAGGGAGUGUAAACAUGGAGUCUUGGCAUUUCUGUAUUCCCAGGACCCUUUAUUGGUCUUUGCAUAAUGCCCCACUUUUACUCUUCUUGCAGAACUUUCUCCCUUCAACCACUAACCUAAGUUGGUGGACGCGGGGGUAACGAGGCACGGUGGCAGUGAUGUCUGGCCUGAGCCAUCACCGGGCAUUUACCAGCUGUGUGCUCUGGGGGGCAACUCGCCUCUGCGUUUCCCCUUUUGUUUACAACAGGUGCAGUAGGAGCACCCUGAAAGACUGUGAUGGGCACUCACUGAGUCAGCACAGACGGGAGGCACAGAGAGUGGUGCUGGGAACCUUUGUAACUACUGACAAUAAAUGUUUCUCAUGAUGCAGGCUUACAGAUGAGGUGACAGACGUGGUAUGCCAGCCCUGAGGCACCUGGACAGGUCUGAGGUCCUGCUUGGCUUGGUGGUUGGCUCUGGAUCCUGUGGGACCCCAGCAGGCAGGGAGCAGGCAGUGUGGGCUGGGCUGGGGCAGAGGCUACCCUGGCACCUUGCUCUCUUUUUACCUGGUAUUGGGGGCACAAGUUGGCCACCUAGCCAAGGUCUUGGGAAUCCUGAGGACCAAACUCCAGUGGCCAGGAGCAGGUUAGAAAUGCAUUUUCCUGGGACUUAAAGCCACAACGUCCUGAGGGAGUCUGGGGUGGCCCGAGUCUGCAUUUCCGCCUGCCCUCAGGUGAUUCUGUGAAGCCUUGACUCCCAUGGUCCUGGCCUCCAAGCCCCACCCUUUCUGAGACCUCUGCCUUCCUCUCUCCUCUCCCUCCCUGCUCACCUAACUGACCUCCGCUGAGCUGCUGGACAGGUGUCCCCUCCUCUAGGAGGCCUCCUAGCCUUCCCUCCAGCUCAGCACAAUGCUGAGAGAAGCGACACUGGACAGUAUGGCCUCCUCCCCUCCUGUGGUGUGGCUGAGCCCAGGGACAGUCACUGGCCAGUGGGAGGAAGGAAGGCUUUGCAUGGCUCUCUGGGCAUGCCCCUGCCUGGGAAGUGGGAAUCAGGUCAGAGGCAACUCCUCCUGGGCCCCAGGGGAGCUGGCAGCUCCACCAGACCCUUCACUGCUGUGUCAUCAGAAUGACAGUUCUCAAACAGGGUCAUCUCCAAAGGGCAGUGAGCUAGGUGCUCCUGUGCAGCACCCCAGGCAGGCCCUGCCCCGUUCUUUCACUAACCUGUCAGAGGCCAGGUGAGCAGCUUGUGUGUUCCUGGCUCAGUGCCUGGGCAGGUGUGCCGGGCAGGGCCCAUUCUCAGGAGCCGUCUUGCCUGCUUGGUGCAGACAAACCCAGGCUGUGACCUGCUCAACAGAUGUGCAGCAGGGACCCCUAGGGAGGUCUCUGGGCCUGCACUGAUUUCAAAAGGUUAUCACUUCUGUGGGCACGGACGUGGAUAGUGUGGGAACGUGGCCUUUCCAGCCUUGGUGGCCUCCUCUAUAAGGAAGGUAUAGUAUAACAGUACCACCCGGUAGGCACCCAGUAGGAGCGCAGACAUCCCUUCAUUCCUUUCUCAGACCCAUGGCUUGGUCCCGGACCAGCAGCACAGCAGCCUCCGGGAACCUCUUAGAAAUGCAGAUUUCCCAGCAGUUCCGAGUUUUCCAGCAGUUUCCCGAGUCAGGGACAGCACUCAGGGUGAUGCCACUGCAGGUUCAAGUUUGAGGACCACUGGUCUAGAAUGGACUUGCUCUCUCCCCUUCCCCCUUCCUCUCUCCCCCUUCCUGCACUCACUCCUGCUGGCCGGCACUUCCUCCAUGCAGCUGCUGGUUUCUGAGGGCCGCCACCAGGUGUCAGGGCAGCCUCAGGAAUGUUCCAGCUGUCCCACCUUCCCUGCCAGCCUGGCCUCUGCUGCCUCAGGAGGUGUCCUGAGAAGGGAAGCAGCUUCCCGAGCUUCUCACAGGAUGAAUGCUUCCCUGUGCUUUUCUAACUGCUCAGGGUGAGUCAUCCGGGCCUGAAGGUGGUGAAGGCGGCAGAUAUGUCAGCAUCCUGUGUGGUGGGGACAGGGACAACCCCACAGCACCUAGUGGGAUGUUAUGAGAUUUAGGGGGCACGCCCAACUCCUCCUCUACUACUGCCCUAAGUCCUAAGUCCUCACUCUCUUAUUCUGCCCUAGGAGGCUUCUCCAACCACCCUGCUCUGUGCCCCAUUGUGACUCUGGCCAGGGCCUCAGACCCUCCACCCAGUCCAGUCCUCACAGUGGGCCUCUCAGGCCUGUCCUGCUGUGCCAAUGCUGAGGCCGACUUUGGGCUACUGGUCCAGGCCCUGCCCAGUCCUGUGACUACACGUCCCUAACUGCCACCACAGGCUUGGUGGGCCACAAACCUCCUCCUGAACACAGCCCACAGCCCACGGCUUUGCCCACGGUCCCCUUCCAGCUUGCCUGCUCCAGCUCCCCUGAGUUCAAAGCCAGCCCACACCUUCCCAUGCGCUGGACACCCUCCCCGGCACUGGUGCAGGAGGCUGAGUAGGGCAGGCAAGGUCUCUGCCUGCAGCCACACCAACCCAGCGGCUACCCUCCCAGCAGGGCUGGGCAGAGCAUCGGGAGGGCUGCCUGGGUCCGGAAGGGCAUAUGCUGGAUUCCAGGCGAGGAGCUGCUGUGCUAGGCCCCCAGGCGUGCUCAGGUGGGAGUGGCUAUGGGCCAUGGGCUGCGGUGGCAGCUAACAAAACAAUGCCAUUAAAAAUGGGCAAAGGACAGGAAUAGAGACAUACAAAUGGCUAAGAUGUAUAUGAGAAAAUGCUCAACAUCAUUGAUCAGGGAAAUACAAAUCAAAACCGCAGCGAGAUAUUAUCUCACCUCACUUAGAAUGGGUAUUAUUAAUAAAACAAAAAAUAACAGAUGCUGGUGAGAAUGCAGAGAAAUGGAAACUCUGCUACACUGUCAGUAGGAAUGCAAAUCAGUACAAACAUGAUGGAAACCAGUAUAGAGAAUUCUAAAAACACCGCAAAAUAGAGCUACUGUAUGGUCCAGCAAUCUCACUGGGGGCGGGGAGGGGUAUUCAUCCAAAGGAAAAAGUUCAGUGUAACAAAGGGUAACUUGCAUGCUUGUGUUUAUCACAGCAUUAUUCACAAUAGCAAAGAUACUGAGAAUGCAAGUAUUCAUCAACUGAUGAAUGGAUAAGUAAGAUGUGCUAAAUAUACACAGUAGAAUACUAUUUGGCAUAACAAAUAAUGAAAUCAUGUCAUUUUCAGAAAUAAGGGUAGAUCUGGAAGUCAUCGAGGAAAAUAAGCCAGGCACAGAAGGACAAAUACCGCAGGUUCUCACUCACAUGUAGGAGCUAAAAAAAGCUUGAUCUCAUGGACCCAGAGAACAUGAUGGCAGUACCAGAGGCCGGGAAGAUGGGGUGUGGAAGGGAGAAUGAAGAGAAGUUGGCUAUUGGGUACAGACCUGCAGUUAGAAGAAAUAAGCUGUAAUGUUUGACAGCAGACUAUGGUGACUAAAUAACAAUAUUAUGUGUAAAUAUUCAAAGUAACCAGAAUACACAUUUUAUGCAUGUAACAAGCAUUUGUAUUAAGGAAGGAGACCACUACUACUCCUGCUGCCCUCCUCCCCCCACCUUGCCUAGUUCAAAGACAGGAGAAA